AAUCGUCAAUGCGACGUCCUCCUACUCCCACCUCAGAGCUGUCACAGAGACUGUCAGUUCCGUCCCUCCCCUUCAGCCCUUUAACGCACGUCUUCCCGACCGCAUAACUUGCUCAGUCCCUGCGGCCAACUGGGGCGGGCCAAUGGCUGUGACGGAUAAGGGGUGUGGGGUGCGGGGACAAUGGGCCAGAGCUUCUCAUGCAGCCUGCACCAGCGCCGGGUCGGAGAGUCAGAGGCCACCCUGAGAUGGACCGAGAUCUUCAGUUGGGGAGGCGCCUCCGGUGAGCUUGCGGCCAGAUGCCCCCUCAGUAGUCCUCCGCAACAGGUGCCGCGCAGCCGAGUGGCGGGCUAGCAUACCGCCUGCCCGCAAUUCGGCCAGGCCUCGAGCCUGCUCCGCCUUCCCGCUGCGGUAGCGCCGCCGGGGAAACGCCGCCACGGGCUGCAUGGGCAGCGCUCGCGCCCCGCCGCUGAGCCGCCGGGGAGCCGUCCAGUCUUCGAAUCCCAGAAACACAAAGAUGGUGCAGACCCAGGCCCUGCUUUGACUGGGAGAAAGAUGCAUUCAGUUGACUAAAACUUGAACCACAGCAUGUUCCGAAGAGAUGAUUGGAAGAUGGAAGUGGAGGGUUAAAUAAUGAAAUGCAGCUAACAUUUCGGAAAGUUUCUAAAAGUUGUACAACAUGCCCUACAGCUACUCUUUAAAUCUCCAAAUCAAAUGAGUUUCAGGUGGAGCCUCUGGGAGGUGAUGAGGUCAUGAGAGUGGAGCCUCAUGAAUGGGAUGAGCACUCCUACAAAAAGGAUUCCAGAGAGCUCGCUUGCUCCUUCCACAGUGUGAGGACACAGAGGGAAGGCUCUGUCUAUGAAUGAGAAAGUGGGUCCCCACCAGACAUUGAAUCUGCCGCAUCUUGAUACUGGACUUCCAGUCUCCAGAACUGUGGGCAAUAAAUGUCUGUUGUUUAUUACCUGUCCAGUAUCUUUGGUAUUUUGCUAUAGCAACCCAAAUGGACUAAGAAAACACCAGAGGCCAUACCUAAUAAAAAUAUUGACAUCACAAAAAAAAAAAAAAA
rnacentral:lncRNA from 1 species